UCUAUAACUAGCUUUAUGAAUUUGAGAAGAGAUCAGAAGAAAUAAGAAUUUUGAAUGAGAUUUAUAUUAAUAUGGACAAUGCAAAGAUAUAGCAUAUAGAAGAUGAUGCUACUAACUUUAGCAUUUCUACAUUAUUAGAUAGUAAAGUGAUAAAGGCCAAGCUAGAAUUGAAUAUGAUCGUGAUAAUAAUGGUCAACAACAAACACUUAUUAUUGUUACUAACUUUAUCUUAUAAUAUGCUGAAAUCACAUGUUAGCUAGAAUUAAAUAUCAUCCUAAUCUAUAUGCAGGGAUUUGCAGAGCUGGAAUGCUAGCUCUAAAUCAAGGAAAAAAAUAAUAGAAGCUGAAAAGUUAAAAAGAAAAAAAAAGAAGGGUAUAUGGAUUUAAGUGCAAUGUUUUUAUUGCCUUUUUUGCAUAUAUACUUUUUGCACAUGGCUUGUAGAGGAUAGGCUUCUAAAAAAGUUUUGCUUGAUGUUGGGGUUAUAUACUCUCUUUUAUUCCUUUCUGUUUACUAGUACUACUGUUACUGUUUCUUUUUUCGUCUUCUUUUUCGUGACAAUUGAUUAACUUGUGAAAGAAAUGGCUGAGAUGGGAUUGAGGUACUAGCACAUGGUGACACUACUAUUUUCAUACUGCAAGAUGUAGAUUGCAUUUAUACUGAAGAUAAGACUUGAGCAUAUCCCUGAGAGGAUUGUGUUGAUAUCUGAGGCUGCGAAUAGAGAGAAACCUUCUGCCGUUACAAAUACUCUCACCCAACGGAAUUUAUUUGCACCAUGUUAAUGCUGACGUCAAAAUCUCCUUAUUUAUUCAUUUUUUUUAUUAAGUUAUGUCAAUGACUUAUUAUAUUGGACCUGUUCUUGCCCAUUGAAAAAAGGUGAGUGACAAUGAAGAUUGUAACAUCAGCAGCAUAUUUGAAGAAGCUUGUGAUUUUAUAGAUUAUGUUGAGCAGAUUGGUCAGAUAGUUUCAGUUCAUUGUUUUGAAGGGAGAAGCAGAAGUGUUACUCUGGUUCUUGCUUACUUAAUGCUUAGAAAAUUAGUUCAUUUUUUAUGGGAUGGUUUGGUGUUGUAUUCAAAUCCGACAUAUCUCAAGUUUCAGAACAUCUAUCUAUAGCAAUAACAACUGGUUACUUAGGAAGCCUUACAACUUUCAGCAGUUGGAAUCAGAAAAUGCUUCAACUUAGUGUCUCUGGACACUGGCUUUUCGCCAUAUUCAGUUUUUUAUUUGGUAAAUAGGUCUACUAGAUAAGAGAAGUUUUCUUUUAGUUAUAAAUAUGAUCUUAGUCUUGUUGAAUUUUAUUAGUGUUUUUGGCGGCUAUGAUUAGCAUUUAGCAUUAUUGAGUACCUGUUUGGGCCAUGGGAUAUGACACUAGCACAUAACAAUUGGGGCAAAGCAGAAGGCAAUAUCUACUUUUGAACGUGUUUGUUGGUAGAAAAGUCCAAGUUUUUCCCUACCAUAUAUAUUAGAACUUUCAACGAGAGAUGUUGUUAUCCUCCAUGAUAUAUCCUCCAUUACUAUAUCUUAAUCUAAUCUAAUUUUAUUCUGAGAGGGUGUUUCCUUCUCAUUUCUUUCUAUUUUUCA